CAGACAUAUCACGACGAAACACCGGUUUUUGUACGAUCACCGAAGUUAAGCAACGUAGAGCCUGGUCAGUACCUAGAUGGGUGACGGCUUGGAAAUAUCAGGUGCUGUAA
rnacentral:rRNA from 1 species